UGGGGAAUUUUGGACAAUGGGGGAAACCCUGAUCCAGCCAUCCCGCGUGUGCGAUGAAGGCCUUCGGGUUGUAAAGCACUUUUGGCAGGAAAGAAACGUCGCGGGUUAAUACCCCGCGAAACUGACGGUACCUGCAGAAUAAGCACCGGCUAACUACGUGCCAGCAGCCGCGGUAAUACGUAGGGUGCAAGCGUUAAUCGGAAUUACUGGGCGUAAAGCGUGCGCAGGCGGUUCGGAAAGAAAGAUGUGAAACCUCCGAGAGUCAUACUUUUGGGAACUGCAUUUUUAACUACCGGGCUAGAGUGUGUUCAGAGGGGAGGUGGAAUUCCGCGUGUAGCAGUGAAAUGCGUAGAUAUGCGGAGGAACACCGAUGGCGAAGGCAGCCUCCUGGGAUAACACUGACGCUCAUGCACGAAAGCGUGGGGAGCAAAAGCAGGAUUAGAUACCCUGGUAGUCCACGCCCUAAACGAUGUCAACUAGCUAGUUGGGGGCCUUUCGGGCCUUGGUAGCGCAGCUAACGCGUGAAGUUGACCGCCUGGGGAGUACGGUCGCAAGAUUAAAAACUUAAAU
rnacentral:rRNA from 1 species